GAUGAAGAACGCAGUGAAAUGCGAUAAGUAAUGUGAAUUGCAGAAUUCAGUGAAUCAUCGAAUCUUUGAACGCACCUUGCACCCUUUGGCAUUCCGAAGGGUAUGCUCGUUUGAGUGUCAUUGUACUCUCACUCUCCCGAUCUUUGGAUCGGGAGUGGUGGACUUGGGUGUUGCUGCUUUACCGUGGCUCACCUCAAAUGGAUUCGUGCAACUCCUGGUUGGACAUAGUACGGCGUGAUAAGUGUCUUCGCCGGCACCUCACUAGAGGGUGGCUGACCGGGAGCUCUGUGCUUCAAACCGUCCUCGGACAACAACUGACAACUUGACCUCAAAUCGAGUAGGACUACCCGCUGAACUUAAGCAUAUCAAUAAGCGGAGGA
rnacentral:misc_RNA from 1 species